rnacentral:rRNA from 1 species
AUGCCACAUUCUACGGCCACACACGCUUUGAUGCGUGCUGAAUUUGAGGAUAUUUUUCCCACACCCUCCUUCACAUCACGACGCCCGAACCAAAGAGUUCGCCCGACAAUUCAUGAUGUUAUCACUUCAAAGAUUAAAUCAUAUGCUAGAGAGGCUUCAAAGUCCAACAUAGAUAAAGUUGCAAAAAGAACGGCAUCGGAUGUGUCACAUUCACAUGGAGCUGUCACCUGUUACCAACUACCUAAACAGAAAAAGAAGAAUGAGGCAUCGACAUUGGCAACACAACUUGUUGCUAGUCCCAUCUCUCCAGUUAUGGCACCCACAGGAGAUGCUCAGCAUGCAGCUAGUCAGCUUCUUGGUUCAAUAUUUGAGUGUCUAGUAGGCAUACUUGAGAACCAUAUUACUGUUGGAGAGCUCCUUGAACAAAAAUCAUCAACUGACGUUGACAGUGUAAACACACCUCAUGUGGCAAAUGGGGACACAAGCUGGAAUCCAGAUUCUGAAUACUCCCAACCUACUGGUGGUUUUAGUGUUGCAUUCUCUCUGUCAGUUGUUCAGAGCGAGUGCCAGCAACUUCUGUGUGAAAUUUUGCGGGCAACUCCAGAAGCUGCUACUGCAGAUGCAGCUGUUCAGACAGCUAGGCUUGCAAAUAAGGACCCAGUGAAGGAAAAGAGGGAUGGAUCAGAAGGCCUUUCUUUUGCUUUUCGCGUUACAGAUGCAGCAAUCUCUGCGCAAAAUGAAGGUCAAGGAUGGAGAAGAAACCCAGCUGUACCCCAAGAAGGGUAUGGAACAGCAAGCAUCAUACCUGAUCAAGGGAUUUUCCUAGCUGCAUCAGUUUACCGUCCUGUCUUUGAGUUUAUGAAUAAAAUAGGAUUGAUGCUUCCUCGAAAGUACUCACAACUUGGGUAA